ensembl:lncRNA
CUCCAUCCAUGGGAUUUUCCAGGCAAGAGUAUUGGAAUAGGUUCCCAUUGCCUUCAAUAUGUUGUAAGAAUCAGAACUAUCAAAAGAUACUCGAGUAUUGUCACUCUUUUCUCACCCCUGCUACCCCACCCCUUCCCUGAAUUCUGCCAGCCCUCUACUGAUAACUAAUCUCUAGCUUCUGGUUUAAUCAUUCCAGUGUAUCUGGUAUAAACAGAAUAUAAACUACACACUCCUGAACAACUAAUGGGUCAAAAAAGAGAAAUCAAGAAAUAUCUUGAAACAUGCAGAUGGAGACAAAACAUACCAAAACUAAUGGGAUGCCACAAAAGUGAUUCAUAAAGAGAAAUUUAUAGUGAUAAAUGCAUAUAUAAAGUGAAGUGAAAGUCGCUCAGUCAUGUCUGACUCUUUGUGACCCCAUGGACUAUAUAGUCCAUGGAAUUCUCCAGGCCAGAAUACUAGAGUGGAUAGCUAUUCCCUUCUCCAGGGGAUAAUUCCCAACCUAGGGAUCGAACUCAGGUCUCCUGCAUUGUAGUGGAUUCUUUACCAACUAAGCUAUGAGGGAAGCCCAGAAAUGCAUAUAUAAACAAAAAAGAAAGAUCCCAGAUAAAAAACCUAACUACAUCUCAAGGAACUUAGAAAAGAACUAACUAAGCCAAGGUAAGCAGAGAGAAGGGAACAACAGAUCAGAGGGGAAAUGAAAUAGAGAUCAUUAAAAAAAAAAAAGAUCAUAGAAAAAAAUGUAAAAGAUUCAAAACAAAGCUGAUUAAAAAAUUGGCAAACUUUUAGCUGGAUUAAUUAAGAAUAGAAGAGAAUGCAAUGAGAAAUGAAAAAGGUGAUAUUACAACUGAUAAUACAGAAAUAUAUAGGAUCAUAAGACUUAACAUACCAGCAAAUUGAACAACAUAGAAGAAAUGGAUAAAUUCCUAGAAACGUACAACCUACCAGGACUGAAUCUGGAAGAAACAGAAAAUCUGACUAAACCAAUAACAGAUUAAAUCAGUAAUCAAAAACCUCCCAACACAAAAAAAGCCCAGGGUCAGUUGUUUUGCUGGUGAAUCCUACUGGUUAAAGAAUUGCCAGUCCUCAAACUAUUCCCAAAAAAUUGAAUGGGAGGGAACACUGCCAAACUCAUUUAAUGAGGCCAGGACUUACUGAUACCAAAGCCAAAUAAGGACAAUGUAAGGAAAAUUACAAGCCAGUAUCCCUGAACAGAAAUGCAAAAAUUCUCAGCAAAAUAUUAGCAAAACACAUUAAAAGGAUAAGAUACUAUGAUCAAGUGAGGUUUAUCCCUAGGAUAUAAGGGUGGCUCAACAUAUACAAAUAAAACCAUGUGAUAAAUCACAUUAAUAAAUAAAAGAUGAAAAUCAUAUGAUCAUUUCAAUAGAUGCAGAAAAAGGGUUUGACAAAACAUCCUUUCAUGAUAAAAAUGCUCAAUGAAGUGAGUAUAGAAAGGGCAAACCUCAACAUGACAAACCCACAACCAUCCAACCCAUAGUCAUGCAACAGUGAAAGGUUGAAAGCUUUUCAAGAUCAGGAACAAGACAAGGACACCCACUCUCCACUCUUGGUCAACGUACUUGCAGUCCUAGCCAGAGCAAUUGGGCAAGAUAAUAAAAUAGAUUCUGGGGGGAAAAUGGCUAUGUAGGACAUACCAGCUUCCCGGACCCCAAACAAAGAUCAAUGAUUAGGCAGCUAUUGACAAAAACCACUCCAGAUCUCUCGAAAUUUUAGCAACACUAUGGAACAAAAAAUGAAACACUGAGAAUGACUGAACAAGAAGAGAAGACAAAUACUACAUUUUGCCUCUGCAUUAUCCCAUCAUCCAAGACAAUAUUCAGCGGCAAGAAGGCACUUCCUAGCUAUGAAGAGUCCCCUGAGUGGGAGACUUGCCCUACAGGAAAACUCAGCAGCUUCUACCACUGAAGUCACCAGCCAGCUGCUCUAUUUGCCAGCCACACCAUUUACAUUCUGAACACCAGCCAGCUGCACUUUGCUCCAGUCCCUGCUUCCCCACCCUCCCCUCCCUCUCCUGCC